rnacentral:rRNA from 1 species
GAGACUCUGUGCGCGUGCAUAUCAAUAAGCGGAGGAAAAGAAACUAACAAGGAUUCCCCUAGUAACGGCGAGUGAAGCGGGAAGAGCUCAAAUUUGAAAUCUUAAAGGGUUUCCCUUUACGAAUUGUAGUUUAAAGAAGUGUUUUCUGUUGGAGUUUCGGUAAAAGUUCUUUGGAAUAGGACAUCAUAGAGGGUGAGAAUCCCGUAUUUGACCGUUACUUUCCAGCUGUGUGAUACACUUUCAAAGAGUCGGAUUGUUUGGGAAUGCAGUCCAAGAUGGGUGGUAAAUUUCAUCUAAAGCUAAAUAUUGGCGAGAGACCGAUAGCGAACAAGUACCGUGAGGGAAAGAUGAAAAGAACUUUGAAAAGAGAGUUAAACAGUACGUGAAAUUGUCAAAAGGGAAGCGUUUGACACCAGUGUUGUUUAGUUGAAAAUCAAUUCAAUAGUUUUUGAUUCUAAGUAGUAUUGACUUCAUCAGCUUGCUGCUCUCUUCUCAGAAAUUAUUGAAUGCACUUUUCAGUUAACAAGUCAACAUCAAUUUCUUUUGUUGUAAAAGGGUAUGAGGAAGGUGGCUUUCUUUUCGGAGAAAGUGUUUAUAGCCUUGUGCCUCUGCAAUCGGAGAGAUUGAGGUCUGCAGCGUAGAUCCUUCGGGGUUAGAUACGUUUGUGCUAAGUUAUAGCUUUUCAUAGACAACUUGUUGACUAUGUUUAGUCUUGUAGCUUACUCGCUGACGCUAUUUUACCUACGCUUAGGAUGUUGACAGCAGUAUAGACUGU